rfam:Actinoplanes awajinensis subsp. mycoplanecinus strain NRRL B-16712 P067contig146.1, whole genome shotgun sequence.
GAAUAGAAGCGUCAGAACUCCUAUCCUCCCAGGCCAGAGGGCACUUUCUAUCUUCCGGGGUGCCGCCGUCUCACCAUUCAGCGGUGGAUCGAG